rnacentral:misc_RNA from 1 species
GAUGAAGAACGUAGCGAAAUGCGAUAAGUAAUGUGAAUUGCAGAAUUCCGUGAAUCAUCAAAUCUUUGAACGCACAUUGCGCCCCCUGGCAUUCCGGGGGGCAUGCCUGUCCGAGCGUCAUUUCUGCCCUCAAGCCCGGCUUGUGUGUUGGGCGUGGUCCCCCCGGUUUAGGGGGGACCUGCCCGAAAGGCAGCGGCGACGUUCCGCCUAGGUCCUCGAGCGUAUGGGGCUUUGUCACCCGCUCGGGAGGGGCCUACGGGCGUUGGCCAUCCACCAUUUUUUUUUACGGUUGACCUCGGAUCAGGUAGGAGUUACCCGCUGAACUUAAGCAUAUCAAUAAGCGGAGGA